AAAGUCUAAUCUGCUCACUGAGUAAUUAAAGAGCCGCAGUAUACUGACUGUGCAAAGGUAGCAUAAUCAAUAGUUUUUUAAUUGGAAACUUGUAUGAAAGAUUGGACGAAAGUUUAAUUUUCUUUAUUAUAGUAAGUUGAAUUUAAAUUUUAAGUGAAAAUGCUUAAAUUAAAUUAAAAGACGAGAAGACCCUAUAGAUUUUUAUUAUUAAAAUAAAUUAUAUAUUUUUUGUUUAUGAAAAUAAUUUAAUUGGGGCGAUUUUGUAAUAUAUAAAACUUAAUUUUUUAAAACCAUAAAUAAUUGAAUUUUUUGAUCUAAAUUUUUUAAUGGAAAGAUUAAAUUACCUUAGGGAUAACAGCGUAAUUUUAUUUAAGAGUUCAUAUCUAUAAUAAAGUUCGCGACCUCGAUGUUGAAUUAAGAUAAUGUAUUGGAGUAGAAAUUAAUAUAAUUAGUCUGUUCGACUAUUAAAUUCU
rnacentral:rRNA from 1 species